CGCCAUUUUGUCUCCAGAAUUGUAAGAAGUCCCAGCAGCAUUUAAUACACUGCCUAAAAGAGAGGUUGGAGAAUUCUGUUCCGCAAAACUUAAUAAAUCAAAAGAUGCAUAGGGUGUUGACUGGAGAGACGAUAACCCAUAGGAGGCAAACAUCUGGUCUGUUGCUGAUGGGCUGUUGCACCAACCAGCGUAUGUAUCAAAAUUCAUUAUCUCGGAAAAAUGGUUGAAUGGGUCCUCUGAAAUUGAAUUCCUUGCCCCACCAUCUGAUGGAGCCAUACCAUCUGUC
rnacentral:misc_RNA from 1 species